rnacentral:lncRNA from 1 species
GCGAGUCGCCCGCGACCCCGUUGGCAGGCACGUCGAUCUCGGCGGCGGCCUGUUGGUCCCACGCUGCAGAUUCGCCUUCGAGGGUCACGCCCACGGUGCGCGCCGUGAUGCUCAGGGCGGCGCGCUGCACCCACGUCCCGCCGUUGACGAGCACGGCAUAGGGCGCACCAAAAGGUUGGCCCGUGGGGCCGUAGCCGGCCGAGGCGGCCGUGUGGCGUAUCGUCACUGGCCCGUCCUGGUACCACGUGGCGUUGGGCGAUACGGCGAUGCCUAGGAGAAUCGACACCACACAACACGAUGCGUCACGCCAUGUCGCAUACAGGCAUAUACAUGUGCACGUCCACGUCGUCAUGUUGGUGCAUGCACACGGAAACAAGGCAACGACGGUCCUAUAGCAAGAUGUGGGGCCGUUGCGCGAGACCAUAUAGUUUUUGUAGUGGGCAGACGAUGCGCGCGCGCAAAAGAAAGAGAGAGAUAGAGAGAGGCGAGACGCACCUGCGCCGGC